UAAAAGUUUGAAUCUAGCUUUUCCUUUGUUUAGAGUUAGAUUUAUAAAUUAAUCAAAAAAACUAAAAGAUCUUAGAAGUAGUAAAUAAUGUUAAGUAACAUAAUCAAUGGACUUAGUUAAACUCUUUAGAAUUGGUGGAAUUUGUGCCAGCUACCGCGGUUACACAAAUAAUUCUAAUGAAGAAGAUUAUUAAAAUUAAUUAAAUUUUUUUACUUAAAUGGAAUUAAUUUUUUAUUUUAAGGGUUAAAUCUAUAGAAUAAAAAUGGAUUUUCAUCUAUGUAAAGUAAUGAAUUAAAAACGUUAGAUCAAAAAUCAGGAUUAGAUACCCUGGUAUUCUAACCACUAAAAAUAAGGGUAGUAAAAGUUGUUCUUCAAACCCAAAGAUUUUGGCGGUAUUCUAGCCAGACAGAGGAGCUUGUUUUUUAAUUGAUGAUCCCCACUAUAUCUUACUUUUCUUAUUUAGUUUGUAUACCGCCGUUGUCAGAUUACCUUUAAAGAGUGUUUUCUUAAAAAAUAGUUUUUAAACUUCAGGUCAAGGUGCAGCUUAUAGAAAAGUUUUAAUGAGCUACAAUUAAUUUUAUUAAUACGGAUUGUUUUUGAAAUAGAGACAUGAAGGCGGAUUUGUAAGUAAAUCAGUUUAAUGAUCACUGGUUGAAUAAAGGCAAUAGAAUAUGUACAUAUCGCCCGUCACUCUCUUCUUAAGAGGAGAUAAGUCGUAACAUAGUAGAUGUACUGGAAAGUGUAUCUUGAAAGAA
rnacentral:ncRNA from 1 species